GUGCCAACUGGCGCCUAGCUUCCGGUCUUUGCUGAUACACAGAGAUGUGCCCAUGGUUGCCCCCUGCUGGACGAUGCCUAUAAUGAUGCUUACAGCACGGCGCUGAUGUGCAGGAUCCCACAUGAAAAAGGCUGGUUGUCAGGGGCAAGAAGAGGAUUGAAUGGAGGCUGGCCAAUCAGAGGCAAAGAGCCCAGCUGGCCUGAAUCCCAUCCCUGGGGAAGAGAGGAGAGAGGAAGGUCCUCAUGGAGGUACUUCCAGAUAUUUGCCAGGUUUUUUGGAUGCCUGGCAUCUGGAACUUUCUCCCACAUGAGUCUGGAGGGAGGCAGAAGGCACAUUCCACUAUAAAAGCCAAAAUGGCCGCAUGCUGAAUUCCUACCUCCUUGCUCCAGUGCGUGGUGCGGGCACAUGGCAUGGACCAGACUGACCAGAUGUGCCCAUCCAGACUGUGAUCAGAAGCCAGUGGCCCUGGGGCUUCCCUGCUGGUGCAGUGGUUAAGAAUCCGCCUGCCAAUGCAGGGGACAUGAGUUCGAGCCCUGGUCAGAGAAGAUCCCACAUGCCGUGGAGCAACUAAGCCCGAGCACAACAACUACUGAGCCUACGCUCUAGAGUCUGCGAGCCACGACUACUGAGCCCGUGUGCCACAACUACUGAAGCCCGCCCGCCUAGAGCCCAUGCUCUGCAACAAGAGAAGCCACUGCAAUGGGAAGCCCGCGCACCGCAACGAAGAGUAGCCCCCGCUCGCCGCAACUAGAGAAAGCCCGUGCACAGCAACAAAGACCCAGUGCAGCCAAAA